rnacentral:rRNA from 1 species
AGCAGCCGCGGUAAUUCCAGCUCCAAUAGCGUAUAUUAAAGUUGUUGCAGUUAAAAAGCUCGUAGUUGAAUUUCGGGAUCAGCGCGUCGGUCGUGCCUCCGGUAUGCACUGGCGCCGCUGGUUUCUCCCUUCUGAGGAACCGUGAUGUCAUUAAUUUGGUGUUGCGGGAAAUCAGGACUGUUACUUUGAAAAAUUAGAGUGUUUAAAGCGGGCACGCGCUUGAAUACAUUAGCAUGGAAUAACGAAAUAGGACGUUCGAUCUUAUUUUGUUGGUUUCUAGGAUUGACGUAAUGAUUAAUAGGGAUAGUUGGGGGCAUUAGUAUUCAAUUGUCAGAGGUGAAAUUCUUGGAUUUAUUGAAGACUAACUACUGCGAAAGCAUUUGCCAAGGAUGUUUUCAUUAAUCAAGAACGAAAGUUAGGGGGAUCGAAGACGAUCAGAUACCGUCGUAGUCUUAACCAUAAACUAUGCCGACUAGGGAUCGGAUGAUGUUAAUUUUUUAAUGACUCAUUCGGCGCCUUA